rnacentral:misc_RNA from 1 species
AAGGUAGCCGUACCGGAAGGUGCGGCUGGAUCACCUCCUUUCUAAGGAGCACCGAUACCGGAUUCCCCCGUGCCUUACUGGAUGUGAGGGUUGUUCACGGUUGGGAGAGUGCGCCGGGGCCUGUAGUGGGUUUCCCGGUGGGUGCGCAACAACAAACGUUUUCGCGUGAAGUGACGUCGUGAAGUGACGUUGAGUGGCUUUGCGUGGAGGGAUUGCCAGACACACUGUUGGGUCCUGAGACAGCAGACCCGUGGGUUUUGCCUGGCUGUGAUGGCUGGGUGGGGCCGGCCCUCUUGUUGGGGGUGGGUUGUUGUCGCCUCAUCUUGGUGGUGGGGUGUGGUGUUUGAGUUGUGGAUAGUGGUUGCGAGCAUCCAAGCGAUGGCCGUGUGU